GUUUGAUCCUGGCUCAGAUUGAACGCUGGCGGCAGGCCUAACACAUGCAAGUCGAGCGGUAGCACAGAGAGCUUGCUCUCGGGUGACGAGCGGCGGACGGGUGAGUAAUGUCUGGGAAACUGCCUGAUGGAGGGGGAUAACUACUGGAAACGGUAGCUAAUACCGCAUAACGUCGCAAGACCAAAGUGGGGGACCUUCGGGCCUCAUGCCAUCAGAUGUGCCCAGAUGGGAUUAGCUAGUAGGUGGGGUAACGGCUCACCUAGGCGACGAUCCCUAGCUGGUCUGAGAGGAUGACCAGCCACACUGGAACUGAGACACGGUCCAGACUCCUACGGGAGGCAGCAGUGGGGAAUAUUGCACAAUGGGCGCAAGCCUGAUGCAGCCAUGCCGCGUGUAUGAAGAAGGCCUUCGGGUUGUAAAGUACUUUCAGCGGGGAGGAAGGCGAUAAGGUUAAUAACCUUGUCGAUUGACGUUACCCGCAGAAGAAGCACCGGCUAACUCCGUGCCAGCAGCCGCGGUAAUACGGAGGGUGCAAGCGUUAAUCGGAAUUACUGGGCGUAAAGCGCACGCAGGCGGUCUGUCAAGUCGGAUGUGAAAUCCCCGGGCUCAACCUGGGAACUGCAUUCGAAACUGGCAGGCUAGAGUCUUGUAGAGGGGGGUAGAAUUCCAGGUGUAGCGGUGAAAUGCGUAGAGAUCUGGAGGAAUACCGGUGGCGAAGGCGGCCCCCUGGACAAAGACUGACGCUCAGGUGCGAAAGCGUGGGGAGCAAACAGGAUUAGAUACCCUGGUAGUCCACGCCGUAAACGAUGUCGAUUUGGAGGUUGUGCCCUUGAGGCGUGGCUUCCGGAGCUAACGCGUUAAAUCGACCGCCUGGGGAGUACGGCCGCAAGGUUAAAACUCAAAUGAAUUGACGGGGGCCCGCACAAGCGGUGGAGCAUGUGGUUUAAUUCGAUGCAACGCGAAGAACCUUACCUGGUCUUGACAUCCACAGAACUUAGCAGAGAUGCUUUGGUGCCUUCGGGAACUGUGAGACAGGUGCUGCAUGGCUGUCGUCAGCUCGUGUUGUGAAAUGUUGGGUUAAGUCCCGCAACGAGCGCAACCCUUAUCCUUUGUUGCCAGCGGUUAGGCCGGGAACUCAAAGGAGACUGCCAGUGAUAAACUGGAGGAGGAUGGGCAUGACGUCAAGUCAUCAUGGCCCUUACGACCAGGGCUACACACGUGCUACAAUGGCAUAUACAAAGAGAAGCGACCUCGCGAGAGCAAGCGGACCUCAUAAAGUAUGUCGUAGUCCGGAUUGGAGUCUGCAAC
rnacentral:rRNA from 1 species